rnacentral:rRNA from 1 species
UAUCAUUAACUGAAUCCAUAGGUUAAUGAGGCGAACCGGGGGAACUGAAACAUCUAAGUACCCCGAGGAAAAGAAAUCAACCGAGAUUCCCCCAGUAGCGGCGAGCGAACGGGGAGGAGCCCAGAGCCUGAAUCAGCAUGUGUGUUAGUGGAAGCGUCUGGAAAGGCGCGCGAUACAGGGUGACAGCCCCGUACACAAAAGCGCAUGUGCUGUGAGCUCGAUGAGUAGGGCGGGACACGUGGUAUCCUGUCUGAAUAUGGGGGGACCAUCCUCCAAGGCUAAAUACUCCUGACUGACCGAUAGUGAACCAGUACCGUGAGGGAAAGGCGAAAAGAACCCCGGCGAGGGGAGUGAAAAAGAACCUGAAACCGUGUACGUACAAGCAGUGGGAGCACAGGUUUACCUGUGUGACUGCGUACCUUUUGUAUAAUGGGUCAGCGACUUAUAUUCUGUAGCAAGGUUAACCGAAUAGGGGAGCCGGAGGGAAACCGAGUCUUAAUUGGGCGUUAAGUUGCAGGGUAUAGACCCGAAACCCGGUGAUCUAGCCAUGGGCAGGUUGAAGGUUGGGUAACACUAACUGGAGGACCGAACCGACUAAUGUUGAAAAAUUAGCGGAUGACCUGUGGCUGGGGGUGAAAGGCCAAUCAAACCGGGAGAUAGCUGGUUCUCCCCGAAAGCUAUUUAGGUAGCGCCUCGUGAAUUCAUCUCCGGGGGUAGAGCACUGUUUCGGCUAGGGGGCCAUCCCGGCUUACCAACCCGAUGCAAACUGCGAAUACCGGAGAAUGUUAUCACGGGAGACACACGGCGGGUGCUAACGUCCGUCGUGAAGAGGGAAACAACCCAGACCGCCAGCUAAGGUCCCAAAGUCAUGGUUAAGUGGGAAACGAUGUGGGAAGGCCCAGACAGCCAGGAUGUUGGCUUAGAAGCAGCCAUCAUUUAAAGAAAGCGUAAUAGCUCACUGGUCGAGUCGGCCUGCGCGGAAGAUGUAACGGGGCUAAACCAUGCACCGAAGCUGCGGCAGCGACACUCAGGUGUUGUUGGGUAGGGGAGCGUUCUGUAAGCCUGCGAAGGUGGCCUGUGAGGGUUGCUGGAGGUAUCAGAAGUGCGAAUGCUGACAUAAGUAACGAUAAAGCGGGUGAAAAGCCCGCUCGCCGGAAGACCAAGGGUUCCUGUCCAACGUUAAUCGGGGCAGGGUGAGUCGACCCCUAAGGCGAGGCCGAAAGGCGUAGUCGAUGGGAAACGGGUUAAUAUUCCCGUACUUGGUGUUACUGCGAAGGGGGGACGGAGAAGGCUAUGUUGGCCGGGCGACGGUUGUCCCGGUUUAAGCGUGUAGGUGUGUGUUCCAGGUAAAUCCGGUUCACUUUAACACUGAGGCGUGAUGACGAGGCACUACGGUGCUGAAGCAACAAAUGCCCUGCUUCCAGGAAAAGCCUCUAAGCAUCAGGUAACAUCAAAUCGUACCCCAAACCGACACAGGUGGUCAGGUAGAGAAUACCAAGGCGCUUGAGAGAACUCGGGUGAAGGAACUAGGCAAAAUGGUGCCGUAACU